GUGCUGAUGAAGAGUCCCAAACUAGGACGAAACGGCUGUCCAGUAC
rfam:Trichobilharzia regenti genome assembly, scaffold: TRE_scaffold0006398